GAUAGACAGACAGAUGGAUGGAUAGACAGACAGAUAGACAGACAUAGCUAGAUAGACAGAUGGAUAGACAGUUAUAGAUAGAUGGACAGAUAGAUGGAUAGACAGACAGAUGGAUGGAUAGAUAGACAGAUAGACAGACAUAGCUAGAUAGACAGAUGGAUAGACAGUUAUAGAUAGAUGGACAGAUAGAUGGAUAGACAGAUAAAUGGAUAGACUUGUAGACAGAUAGAUAGACAGAUAGACAGGUAGAUGAUAGACAGGUAGAGAGACAGAUAGACAUAACUACAUAGACAGACAGACAGAACUACAUAGACAGACAGACAGAGACGGAUAGACAGAUAGAUGGAUAGACGGAUAGAUGGAUAGACAGUCAUAGAUAGAUAGACAGACAGACAGACAGAUGGAUGGAUAGACAGACAGGUAGAUAGAUAGAUAGAUGGGAAUAAAAUAGUUAAAUAAAGCUAAUAAUAAAAUAAAUACUAUUAGAGUCUUGAAAAAGACGGUUGCUAACAAGUGGCUAAAUGGGACUACAGAGAUUGUCGGGGACAUUAAACGUCAUCACGCCGAACAGGAAACUCAUCUACUACAGUACAGCCUCGUUGUGUUUAUACUCACGCUCUUGCAAACUAUUCCAACUUGUAGAUUUAUCAUUUUAUACUAAUUGUAGUGGUUUUUCAAAUUGUAGUGCUAUAAAGCUUCGUGGUGGUGACGUUAAAGCCAUGUGACUCUGGUGUAGUUCGUUUAUAGCCUACUUUUAGCUUUUUAUUUCUGGCGAUUGUAUUCAGGCUUCAAAAUUCAUAACAGCUGUGUUCAUCUGUGAAGAUUACCUUAAUGAACAAAACGUGCGUGAUUCAUAAACGUUUGCUGGUCACAGAGCUUAUUUUCUGCAAUAAUCCAAAAGCCACUGGUAAAAUCCUAUUGGCUUUUUGUCGAGGGAACCGGGGUGAUGCUGACUUCCGGGCUGGCCUACAAAACGAGGUCAUUUUUGCAGCACUCUGUUAGGUCAUUACGUAAUAACCAUGACAGGCAUAAUCAGGACGCUCCUCAAUUUGACACAGCUAUAGAAACUGAAACCUUUGGCUGAACCGGAGUGACAGUCUAAUGACGGCAUGUGCUACACUUGAUUUAUCCAAAUCUAACGGUUUUGUAGGGCUGACGUUAUGGAUCACCUCUCCUAACGCCGUAUGUGGACAGGCAGAAUUAACUACUCAACGGGUUUAUGACUUCUGAUUUUUUUGGGGGAAAUGACAGUCCGGGGCUACGUGUAGAAUAUUCUGGUCAGAUGGAGCGUUUAGUCUAUUAGACCAGUUUGCUUAAGCAGGUAAGAACACAGCAAUCACACUCAGGUGUGGACCAAAACGAGAGCGCGCCUCAUGCCGAGGUCAUGUGCGUAUUUUUGUCGAACGCCGCUGUGAAAAUGGGCGGGAACAGGAUAUGACACCAUGAUGGAUUUUUUUCUCAACAUAAAGUUGUUGGAUUCAAAUUUAUAUGACUAUAGAAUGGAAAGUAUAUUGGAUUUUUCCUUUUUUUUUUCUCUUUUUU
ensembl:lncRNA